AUGUCGCCUAAUAAUAGAAGACCAGGGCCUGAUGGGUUUACGAACGAGUUCUAUAAAGCAUUCAAGCUUUUGAUCAAGGAUGACUUGCUCAAAUUUUUUGGGGAUUUCCAUGCAAACCAAGUUGCUUUGGACAGAAUCAAUGUUGCAUAUAUAACCUUGCUGCCUAAGGUUGAUGCACCUAUGGAGAUGAGAGAUUUCAGGCCCAUCUCCUUGGUGCACAGUGCUCCUAAACUGGUGUCCAAGGUUCUAACAUGCAGGCUGCAAGGGAGAAUUCCAGAUUUGGUGCACUCUUUGCAGUCUGGGUUCCUAAGAGGCCGCUCGAUCGUGGAAAACUUUGCUCUGGCUGCUGAAAUGAUACAGACAGCGCAUAAAAGGAAGUUGCCAGUGAUUGCUUUGAAGCUG
rnacentral:rRNA from 1 species